GACGAACGCUGGCGGCGUGCUUAACACAUGCAAGUCGAACGCUGAAGCUCAGCUUUUGUUGGGUGGAUGAGUGGCGAACGGGUGAGUAACACGUGAGUAACCUUCCUCCUUCUUUGGGAUAACGCCCGGAAACGGUUGCUAAUACUGGAUAUUCACUGGUCUUCGCGUGGGUUUUGGUGGAAAGGGUUUUUCUGGUGGGGGCUGGGCUCACGGCCUAUCAGCUUGUUGGUGGGGUGAUGGCCUACCAAGGGUUUGACGGGUAGCCGGCGUGAGAGGGUGACCGGUCGCAUAGGGGCUGAGAUACGGCCCAGACUCGGACGGGAGGCAGAAGGGGGGAAGAUGGCAGGAAGGGUGCAAGACUGACGCAGCGCCGACGCGUGAGGGAUGGAGGCGUUAGGGUUGUGAACCUGUUUCGAUCAGGGUCAAGCAGGAACAAUGGUUGUGGUGAGGGUAGUGGGUAAAGAAGCGCCGGCUAACUACGUG
rnacentral:rRNA from 1 species